rnacentral:rRNA from 1 species
GGAUUAGAUACCCUGGUAGUCCACGCCGUAAACGAUGAUAACUAGUUGUCGGGGGUCUUAGACCUUCGGUGACGCAGCUAACGCAUUAAGUUAUCCGCCUGGGGAGUACGGUCGCAAGAUUAAAACUCAAAGGAAUUGACGGGGGCCUGCACAAGCGGUGGAGCAUGUGGUUUAAUUCGAAGCAACGCGCAGAACCUUACCAACGUUUGACAUGGUAGGACGGCUUCCAGAGAUGGAUUCCUUCCCUUCGGGGACCUACACACAGGUGCUGCAUGGCUGUCGUCAGCUCGUGCCG